UAAGGGCGGAUAUAGAAUCUGCCACUGGAGGAUGCUUUUGUGGCACAGUCGACAGCGCGUUGGACUUCGGACUAGAUGGUUGAGGGUUCGAGCCUGGUUCAUUAUAUUUUAUUUGCGGAGGGAGAUGAAAUCUAGACGCUUGAUAUCAGAUGUCAUUAUUUAAAGAAUACACCCCAAAAUACACCCAAAUAAACCCCUUUAAAACAAAGUUUUACUCGUAACGAAAUUACGCGUAAAAAACAACAGAAUAAAAACACACAAAAGCAACCAAUGUACUUUUUGGAACAUCCCAAUUAGGUUCAGCAAAUGUAAGCUUGCGCGUGGCGCAUCGCUUUUGACAAUCGGUUCAACGUUUUUUCGUGCACUUCAGGUGGGGAAAGUUUGCGCGGCAGUGUGUUUCAUUUAUUCUGUUUUAACGGUUUUAGAAAUGGAUAUCCAGAAACAGAGAAACGGAUGUCAGACUUCCACAAGUUUGAAGCUGUCAAAUGGUUAUAUUUUACCUGAAGGUGAAAUGACUCCCAACACACUUUUUGUUGGAGGAAUCGACAUGAAGGUGGAUGAGAACGAAAUCCGGGACUUCUUUGCGAGAUUUGGUGCCGUGAAGGAAGUGAAAAUCAUCACUUACCGUGGAGGUAUCUGCAAAGGUUAUGGAUUUGUUUACUUCAAUGAAGACGUCGACAUCCAAACCAUCGUUGAACAACAGAUCAGUUUUAAAGGGAGGAAACUCAAGCUGGGUCCAGCAAUCAUGAAGGAAAGGAGCUCACGUUCCAUGCCGUCUCACCUGGUUGGUCAGGCCCCCUGGUUAACCCCCUCCCAGUACAUCUACUGCACUUGCUGCUCUCCUAUGGGCGGGGGCAUGGCUCAGCCUUCACCUGUACUCAAUGGCGGCAAUCCCUACUUCCAGCCUUACUCGUACAACGGCUUUCCAGGAGUCAUGAUUCCACAGAUGCCCAUGAGCUACUCACAAACCGCGUACGCGUACCAGUACGCCUCACCACACUGGACUGGGGAGCAGAGGACACGGCUCAUCAACCAGCCGGCUCAUUAUGUGAUGUGAUGCCCCGUUUCCAGAACUUUGUGGACUGCGGAGUCCAGACUCUGCUGUAGUCCACAGCCCACUGACCCUCCUGCUGUACCAGGGGGCGACGUCUCCAUGCAGACUGGAUCAGAAGGUGACAUCCUGGCCAUUAGAGAGCUAGCAGCAAUAGACUUUAAAAAUAUACACUUUCAGGAUGCUUUCUCUCUACGACAUCUCUUGCUCACUUUGAGACCCGACCGCGGCGGCUCAACACUUGCACCUGCACCCGAUGGGCGUGGUCACUGACCGUGCUCCGUGUUUGACUUGGCAAGGACCAUGGUCCUGGCGCUUGGACCGCUUUCAACCCAUCCCGAACACUGUCACACAGGGAAGAGCGGAAGGGAUUUUGGAGCUUCAGCUUGUUUACAGCACAGAGCAACGCUUGGUGUCUGUCUUUUUUUUUUUGUGUGUGGGGGGGUGGUUGGUUUUGAUAACCCCCAAAAAGAAAAUAGUUUUAAGCUCAUCUGUGCAUAUUUAUAUUUUAUGUUUGACUAUUUAUGUUGAAAGUUUUUUAAUGUCAGUUUGUUUGGGUGUAAGCUUUUUGCUGGGCUUCUGUACAUAGAUUUGUAAUACAACAAAUUAGCCUUUAGAAUAGUGUGUUGAUUUUGACUUUUUCUAUUAUUAAUUCAUGAUUCCAUCCCCAUAUUCCUCUGAUUUAAGAAACGAAUGCAUCAAAUUAUUGUGGGCAGAAUUGGGCACAACACUGGCACAUUAUUUUUCAGGCGCUCCUGUUGCCUUAGUGCUCUUUUAUAUAAUUUCUUGACAGGUUCCUUUCUUAAGCUACUUAAAUCACCUUUUUAUUUCGAUUCACUUCAGUGAAUUAGAAGUGCCUGCCUGCUUUUUUUGUUGAGGGGUUAAUUGAUUCGAUGUUAGUGUAUUUACAAUUGGGAUGCACUGAUAUCAUCUCCAGUGUUGCUGUUUACAAAGUUAUGAAUCCUUUUGUGGCCAAUGUUUCUUAGGCUGCGUACCACAUGUUACCCUUGUCCUUAUUUAGUGCACUACUUUUGACUAGAACCCUGAGCAACAGUAGUGAACUAUAGGGAAUAUGGUGUUAUUUGGCACCGAGGCCUUUGAGUGUUGCCGUUUCUUAAGUUAUGCAUCCUGUGGCCAAUGUUUCUUAGACGGUUCCAGCUCUUGCAGUACGUCGCCAAGAGGAAAAUCAUUGAGUCAAUUUCACCUGACGGUGUUGAUAAACUACUUUUAUAAUGCAGCCCAGCAGCCUGGGUCGGGAAACCUGUUUUAAUUCACUCUGAAAUGAAGGACAUAACUAACAGCAAUGCGUUCCAUCACUACUGGUUGAAGUUCUCUUAAAGUUCACUUUAUAUAUUUGUUGUUGUUGCACUGAUUGAUUUGUUGACAAAGUGUGUUUUGUAAGAAUGUUUAGCUCUUUUUUUUAGAGGUGUGAUUUGAUAUGUUUAUGACGCAUUAAUACUAUAUUUUCAGUUUGAUUCUAAUCACUUUUCAGCCCGACGGGUUAACUGGUUGCAUUUAAAAUAGAUAAACACAUUUUGCAUUUCAAUAUAUUUAUUCUUUGAUAGAUCAGUUGAGAGAAAUGUGUUGACUCCCUGUCUUUGUCUUGUAAGCCAGUCUUUCCCAAAUACCUUUCUAUUUGUUUUUUUGAAAGAUAAGCUUGGAAUUGGCUCAACAACCACAAACACACAUCUAAGUUUAGCUUUGUUAUAAUGAACCAGACAAUCUAUAGUUAUUUCUGGUUGUUUGUGAAAGUUAGCUGGCUAACUCAUUGAUCCUUCUUUGUAUUAUAACCCUUGGAGUUUUUUCCCAGAAGAGUACACUGUUUCUGAAAUAUUGAUCUGUUUACUGUUGCAUAGCUGCUCUGUCUUCACUGUGGACUGAUUGACAUCUGAAGUUGGUCAAGACCCAGAGUGUGAUCCAAAGAGCAGACAUGCCUAACGAUUUUGCUACGGUCAAUUAAAGUAUGAAGCUGGCCCUAA